GUUCUUUUUAUAUAUUUCCAAGCAUAAAUGAUGAUACAUAAAUAUAAAGUGGACACGCAACAUAAUUUCAUGACUACAGAGGUAAAAUUUUGCGUAACCAUAUAAAUAAAAAUUUCACGCGUUAAUAAAAAUAGUAAAAGAUUCCGGUCGGUCUUGUAUGUUUCAAAUCAGUUAUUAUGAUACGAGAACAUAGACAGGAUAUAUUUCAUGGAUUCAUUUGUCUGAGCUGACAUUUUGUGUUCUGUAUGCACUAACAUCAUUUGUAGCUAUUAUAACAUCAAUGUAUCCAUCUGUCAUACAAUAGCACCAUCAGUCCAUUACAUCCACUCAAAGAAAUAAUUAUGUAACCUAUACAGAUAUUUCACUGCCUAUGAGUCCAUGUGUGUGUACUUAGAGGUCCUCCAACUAUGGAUGAUUUCACCAAACACAUUAUAGAAAGCCACACUUAUUUCAUUAUCGGUUACACGAAGUGUCAUGAAACCCUGGCCAUCGUAAUAGAACUUCAUUUCUUUCGGGUCCCAUUGGUUGACCUCACCUCGCCAUGCCUUUGACCCGCCUCCGCUUGUUAGAAACUGAAGUUGACUGCACAUGAACGUUAAUAGAAUCUAUAAAUGUUUCUUUAGUAGAUCCACAUCCUUUGCCUUCAAAAGAUUUUACUAUUAGUAGUUUGCACUACAUCUACAUAUACAUGACACAUAUAAUAUAAAGAGUAAAUUGCAUUUUAUGUCCUUUAAGUUUGAGAUAAAUUGCAAGCAUUAACCUUUAACUAAUGAAAUAACACAGUAUAUCCUUUAUGUUACUGUUUCUCAACAACCGGUGCCCUUUUGCCCUAACCCAGUUAUAUUUUUAUGUUAAGUCUUAACACGUGCCACUCACAUAAGGGCAUAAUGGGCAAUUUCACUAAAUAACUAAAACAAAAUUAUUUAAAAAUAAUAUAUAUUAACAUGAUUAGGAUCAAAUACAAAGGCUCCUAAUUAUAAGAAGGGUACAAAUGCUUCUAAAAAAACCCACUAC
rnacentral:lncRNA from 1 species